GAAUAUUUAAUAUUAGAAUUUUAGGAUUUUAGGUCUCACUAGCAUGACCAAUUUAUAUCUCUUAAAAUCAUUAUCCUAAUCUUUGGGGUUCAUCAUAAUCUUAGACAUAAUAAGAUGUUGCUAAUAUGAUGAAUCAAUAUCUCAAAUAAUAAUAAAUAGCAUUUCAUGAGUUGAAAAAUUGUAAAGAAAGUCCCAUCGCAAUACACUUGUGAUUGGCUUAUAGGGCACUUUUCUUUCAAACCUAUCAUCUAUUUUCUUAGUGGGGUUGAAA
rnacentral:lncRNA from 1 species